UUUUUAAUCAUAGAAGAGAGAAGAGAGAGAAACAGUAUAACUUCAUAGGUAUCUUUUUAAGCGAGAAGCAUCAUAAUGGAAAUACUGUUUCUCAAUGUUUCUCUCUCUCAAAUUUUUCAGAGAGAGAAACUCUCAUCGGUGUUCAAUCCGUCCAACAUCGGCUUCUUAUGUGUGUGUUUGGGUCGGGUUUUGUUUCCGUCAUCGACCGUUUUCUUUAACGGUGAUGGAUGGCUUUGCUUCCGGCAUGAGUUGGCCCAUUCGGCAAUUUCAUGUUCGGCUUUGCUUCCGGCAUGAGUUGGCCCCCUCGGCGAUUUCAUGUCUGGCUUUGCUUCCGGCAUGCGUUGGCCUCCUCGGCAACGUUAUGUUCGGCUUUGAUUCUGGUAUAUGUUGGUCCCCUCGGCGACGUUAUGACUGGAUUUCGUCUAGGGUUUCACCAUCCUGUUUCUCGGGUUGGUGAAAGCUAAAUCGGUUUAAUCUCUACGCCGUUGGUUUUUCUGAGAAUUGGAAGCUGAGAGGCUUGGGAAGUUCUUUCAUUUGCAGAUUAGAAGUUGAAGUUUAACAAAAAUUGAUAGAGUUCUCCAAAUUAUCCCUCAUCGGAUCUUACCGAAUUUUGAAGAAUCGAUGAUUUUCAGCGGUUUCCGGUGGUUUGGAGUUCCUUCCGGUGGUAGAUGGUAACCGGUGACGACAUAAUCUUUGGCUGUCCAUGUCUUCACUUUUCUAAGUGUCCCACGUGGAUCUGUGAUGACUCCUCAACAAAUCAAUAUCUCUUCCUUCAAGCUUGGGUUUCCUUCUUGGAUUGGGCUUUCCUUUGUUGGUCGAGGCCUUAGACCUUUUGUUUUGUAUGUUUGUUUUUAGUUACAGUUUAAUAAAAAUAAAAAUAGGUUAGAUAUUAGGAAGUUUAAGGUGACCGGAUUGCACUCAUGGCUUCGCUAGGUCGCGCGUUAAGUGUAAAUGUUCUUAGAACGAGGAUUGAGAGAUUUGGUUUUCCUUAUUCUAUUCGGGUUGUUUUUUUUUCUGUAUAAUUUGGCUGUGCUCUUGUACCCUUUCUUUGGGUUUUUAGGCUUCGUUUGUAUUGGCUUCUUGUUGAAAUUAAUAAAACUCCAGUGAAAAAAAAGUAAAAAAUAA